UAUCAGGCCUUAGAGCUGAAAGAGCAUGGAAGAACCAUCGGACUCUGGCAAUCUGCAGAGCAUGUUGUGAGUUGUCAAAAGUAGCAUGAGCUCUGUCAGUGUGUGAGCAGAGUGGAGUUCUGCACACCAACGAUUUCCUCUGUGUUACUGUACCUAUGAUACUAAAUAAUUUGAAGGCAAGAUGUCUGUCACAGGAACUCUUGCAAAGUCCUUGCAAGAGAACAAUCAAGAACUAAACCAAGAGAAUAAGGCCAGAAGGAAGUCAGAUUCAAGAGCUCUUGUGAAUACAGUGGGCUGCAUCCACAGACCAUGCGGAAUCAAAAUGGGCAGCCAGUUGAAGAGGUUAUGAGAUGAGCUUGAAUUCCUGAGAAGGUCUUCCAUUCAGUUUUAGAGCUGUUGAUGCUCAAUGUGAGCUCCCUGAUGUGGGUGCUGUGAACUGAACUCUGGUCCGCUGGAAGAGCAGUAUACACUCUUAAGCACUGGGUCAUCACUCUAGCACCAAGAUUUCUAUGAAUAGUUAAAUGUCUCCUCAUCUCCAUGGCACUGUUCAGCCUGCUGCUUUCCAAUAGUGUGGCACCUGACUCAUGAAACCAAUUAUCAUCUUCCCCAUGAUUCAGACUCCAAAUGGUAACAGCAAUCUCAAGUUUAAGCACAAGCAUCUCCCUAGUGACUGGUGAACAGUCAGGCUAAUGUUUUGCAUCUUAGUAACAUGUUCCUACUUUGAAGUAAGCUUGGGUAGCACUGACCAUGGUACACUUUUCUAUAUAGCUUUAACUACAAGUUUUGAAUAGUCCAAUGUACACAUUUCCUAACACUAAUAACCAAGUUAUUUCUUGUUAUUAUUCUUACAACAGGCACCCUGCCUCGAUGCCUUUUGGUCACAUCAAAAUUCAACUCAGCGCCACAAAUAAAUAUAGCUGUUUGGUCUUAUUUAUAACCAUACUUUGAGCUGUAAUAGAGCACACCACAAAUAAUUUAACCUUUUCAAGCAUUGUGUGCUGUAAGACCUCAGAGAAGCCUGUAGCACAUUGAGCCAUACUAUCUCUGGCUUAAUACCCAUUUCAAGUUGAUUAUUCAUUAUUGCUUUAUAUAAUCCCCAAGGCACUUUAUCAAUACCACAAACAGACAAACAAGCAAACAAGCUCACCUCCUAAUAAGAUUUCAGAGUCCAGGGACCUUUCAUUUACUACAUAAUGGCACCACUACAUAGAGUUGCUUAUUUUAUUCAUCUGGAAAAAUUGAGAACUUACAGUCCUCUGAAGUUCAUUUGUUUUUCACAGCUCAUCUAUCUAUGAGAAUCACAGUCCUCACAAUGUUGUGUUGUCAGAUUCUCCUCACACAUUCUUUGCAUUGUGAACACAUUAAUUUAUAUUUUUCUUAAGACCUUCAUUUCUAUUGAUUUGCCUAUCAGUACCCCCAUUUUAAUUUAUUAUUUUAUUAUAUCUCUCCAUGUGAAUGUUUGUAUACAGUGUACAUAUGUGUUCAUGUAGAGCCAAGUCAACCUCAUCUGUCAUUCCUUGGACAUUAUUCACUUUGGUUUUUGAGAUAGUGUUUCUCAUUAGCCAAGACCUUGCCAAGUAGACGAAGCUGGCUGGCCCAUGAGCCUCGGGGUCUUUCUGUCUCCAUCUCUGUAAACAAUGCAUGCUACUAAGGCCAACUUUUCUUUUAUAUAUCUUCUUUUUGUAAAAUAUGGGUGGUGGGGUUGUACCUCAGGGUUGUCGGGCAAGCACCUUACCGACCCUUCCCCCUAGUUCAGUGACAUAGGAAAAAAGAAAACUGUUGAAGCACCAGCUGAUCUAGUGGUAAGGCAACAAGUAACCACUUCCCUCCGGUUUCAGAAAGCAGCUCCUCUUGAUCAUUCCUAUUUUAACCACUAUUAAUGUAUAGUGUUUUAUUAUUGUGUAUUAUUUAAUUGAUAGAUAAGGAAUAGGAAGGCCAGAUGGACAAUGAGGGUGCAAACUAACUUUCCAUUUCUCUCUUUUAACAACGUAUGAGUAGCCAGUUUGCUGUUCUCUAGGAGAUUCUAGAGAACAGCUCCACCACCAGCUUUUGGGGGGCACUUUCUGCACUGUUUUCUACCUUCGGGUUUAUGGAGGUGCUAUUACAUCUUGCCUGAAGCCUUUUGUUCUUACUAUUUUUUAAUUUAAUUAUUUUUGGUGCUAUUGUAACAAAUUCCAUGCGGAUUCCUAAAUACACAUAGCAGUGCUAAGUGGAGAGCAUAGGGACCAUUGGUUGAAGAUUUGCCUGAAGCCUUGCAAGCUAUGGACGAGGACACAGAAGGUGGAUUUGCUGGGAGGAGUUGUGGAUAUUACAUCAGGCUUUUCUGUGGUUCAAGUUUAGAAAAUUGAAAGGAAGAAGUUGCCAAUCAAAAAUACACACCCUUGGACUGGAGAGAUGUCUAAGCAAUUAAGAGCACUCAUGGUUGUGGCAAAGGACCUAGGUUCUAUUCCAAGCACCCAUACACCAGCUAAAACCGUCCAUAAUUCCAGCUCAAAGAGAUCCAAUUACCUCUUCUGACUUCCACAGAUACCAUGUAUUCACAUGGUGCACAGAUAUGCAUCCUUGAUGUGAGCUGUUCUCCUCUUACCUGUCUACCAUGUCACAGCUGAAACCAUAAACCAAAAGAGACACUUCCCUCGAAAUUUUCUUGGUUAUUUUGUCAAAGGAAAAGAUAAAAAAACCAACCAACCAACCAAAUCUUGUUGACACAAACAGCUGAAGUAUGAAGAAUUAUGAUUUUUGUCUACUUGGAGCUCUGACUCAAGAGCCUGUGA